UGCGUAGGCGGCUUGGAAAGUUGGGUGUGAAAUCCCUCGGCUCAACCGAGGAAUUGCGCUCAAAACUGCCAAGCUUGAGGGAGAUAGAGGUGAGCGGAACUAAUGGUGGAGCGGUGAAAUGCGUUGAUAUCAUUAGGAACACCGGUGGCGAAAGCGGCUCGCUGGGUCUCUUCUGACGCUGAGGCACGAAAGCUAGGGGAGCGAAC
rnacentral:rRNA from 1 species